UUAACAAUAAACAGUUUAAAUAAUUUGAAGUACGUUAAUACUUUAAGCAGUCUUGUUUAUCUCUUUACGUUCAACUUUUUUAUAAGUACAUAGCAGCAUAGCUACAUAGCUACAUAGCUACAUAGCUAAAAAGUUACACAGAUACAUAGCUUUUUACUUUAAAGUGUAUAUAACUAUAAGCUAAAUAACAAAUAUAUUUUUAUAAAGACUUGCAAUGGUUCAAAUAGUUAUUGCGACCCAAAAUGAUAUCGACAAUAUAUUACGGUGUACUAAUGAUGCAUUUAUGGCUAAUACUUUUUUCAAAAAACCAGAAUAUAACUACAGAUUCACAAGAGAGGACGUUGUAUCUAAAAUAUCUCAUAAAAAUUCAGUUUUUUUUCUUGCACGCGAUAGUACGACAACCUCUAAUGACGACGUAAUUGGUAGCAUACAUUUAUAUUGGAGGACUAAGACAGAGUGGGUUGUUGUUGAUAAUGAUUCUAUUCCUAAGGUUACCUUAGUUGGAACAUUUUCGGCCAUUUCUGUGCCAUCAAAAUAUAGCAAACGUGGCAUUGGUAAAACAUUAGUUGCUUCUGCUGAAAAUUACUUACUUGAAAAUGUUUUUAAAGCAAUUCAGCAUCAAAUGUUAAGUGCCGGUUAUACUAUUAAAAAUAGUCUACAACUUGGUGUAGUUAUGGAAAUUGAAGUAAAUAGCUUACGAGAGGAUUUACUUCCCUGGUAUGAAAAGCAAGGUUAUCAAAUAGUUGGUAAAAUUAAACCCAACGAUGUAGAGUUUACAGUCAAAAUUUUAGAUGGUAUAGAUGCUUUUUUUAUAAUAAUGAGAAAGACAUUAUUGUAAAUUAGUCUAGAACAUUAAAUUGCUGUUGUAUGAGUUGACGAUCAAAGUAGAUUUUGAAGAGUUGUUGAUCAAAGAUCAAUUUGUUAUUAUUGGAAAAAAACGAAUAACAAACAAACGUCAUUUGUGGUAUUUAUAUAUGGACAGUUUGGAAUGAAGCUUUAUUAGCCAGCACCUUUCAAUGGUGCCAAGCUUCUUCGACGGAUUCAAGAAUGCUCAAAUUGUUCAAAUUCAACACCGCCUGUAUUUUUUGGAACAUUUAGUAGGAUUGGCUUACAUUCCUGUAUCAACAAUAAAACCAAGGAAGACAUGGAAAAUGACCUGUAACAACAGCCAAGUCUAAAAUCUCUUAAAAGACUUGAUGCUUCAACAUUCAAUUGUCACAGUCUAUUUUCUUCCUUCAUCACACAACUUUUCGAUCUUGAACAAUCAUAAAGAAAAAGCUGAAUCAUUUUUAAUGAAAGAAUCUGUAGAGUGGGAAAUAAUAAUAAAUAUUGCUGUUGAGAUUUAACGCCAUGUUAAGUCUGUGACAGCCUUUAACAAUAACAAUUUUAUAAUUAACAAUAUAAAAAAUAAAUAAUA